rnacentral:rRNA from 1 species
UACGUAGGGUGCGAGCGUUGUCCGGAAUUAUUGGGCGUAAAGAGCUCGUAGGCGGUCUGUCGCGUCGAUCGUGAAAACUUGGGGCUUAACCCUGAGCUUGCGGUCGAUACGGGCAUGACUGGAGUUCGGCAGGGGAGACUGGAAUUCCUGGUGUAGCGGUGAAAUGCGCAGAUAUCAGGAGGAACACCGGUGGCGAAGGCGGGUCUCUGGGGCCGAUACUGACGUGAGGAGCGAAAGCGUGGGGAGCGAACAGG